GUAUCUUACUGUUUCUUAUAAACAGAGAAGGAAAACACCAGAGGAUAUACCCUAAUGCAAGUUUUCGCAGCCUGGUUAAGUGAAGAGCUGAAUGCACUCUCUGCAGUUAGGCCAAACCAAACACCUGUGCCUGCAACACACUGAGUACAAGGAAGUGUGAAGUUGGAACUAUGAUGAACUGGUCUCAAACAUGAAACGUGACUCAUUCCCUGAGAACCCUCUGGAGGUGAUAAAUGGGGUGAUGUGAUUAUCCUGUAUGGGCAGUGAAGCAAGGGCAUGCAUUUCAUCAGCCGUGGCACAGUUGUUGUAAAGACAACC